UAGUGAUGGAGUUUGUGUGGACUAACCAU
rnacentral:piRNA from 1 species